rfam:Subdoligranulum variabile DSM 15176 genomic scaffold Scfld2, whole genome shotgun sequence.
GGACCGCCCAUCAGGGGCUAAGGCCAUACGGACAGCCGGGUCCACUGCCGA